UGGGGAAUAUUGGGCAAUGGGAGGAAUCCUGACCCAGCGACGCCGCGUGAACGAUGAAGGCCUUAGGGUUGUAAAGUUCUUUUAUGUGGGAAGAAGGAAGUGACGGUACCACAUGAAUAAGCCCCGGCUAACUACGUGCCAGCAGCCGCGGUAAUACGUAGGGGGCGAGCGUUGUCCGGAAUUACUGGGCGUAAAGGGCACGCAGGCUGUGAUUCAAGUCAGCUGUAAAAGGAUGCGGCUUAACCGUGUUUAGCAGUUGAAACUGGAUGACUGGAGUGCUGGAGAGGCAAGUGGAAUUCCCAGUGUAGCGGUGAAAUGCGUAGAUAUUGGGAAGAACAUCGGUGGCGAAGGCGACUUGCUGGCCAGUAACUGACGCUGAGGUGCGAAAGCCAGGGUAGCAAACGGGAUUAGAUACCCCGGUAGUCCUGGCUGUAAACGAUGAAUGCUAGGUGUGCGAGCAGAGAUGUUGGUGUGCCGCAGUUAACGCGAUAAGCAUUCCGCCUGGGGAGUACGGUCGCAAGAUUG
rnacentral:rRNA from 1 species